AAGACGCACAGGAGAUCGUGGCAGAACAAGGACCGAAGCAAUUCAAUUUCAAAACCCUUUCUUCUGUGACAGAAGGUUUCCAUGCCAAAAACAAGUUUGGCAAUGGUGGCUUUUGCUCAAGUGUACAAGGGAAAGUUGAAUGAUGGGAGAGAAAUUGCGGUGAAGAAACCAUUGCUGAUCUCAGACAAGGGAAAGGAACUUGUCCUGAAGGAGAUGAAACUGCUGCUGAGGUCUGCACACCACCGAAAUAUUGUUGAGUUUCUGGGUUUUUGUUCACACUGUGAAGCGAUGCUGCUUGUAUUUGAGUUUGCAAGAAAUGGCAGCCUUGAUUACCUUCUCUUUAAUUCAGAGACUGGCAGGUCAGAUGCGCUUGAAUGGAAGGCAAACAUAUGACAUAAUUGUAGGUGUUGCCCAGGGCUUGCUUUACCUUCAUGAACGAUCACACAGUGUAAUUAUCCAUUGUGACAUCAAACCCACCAACAUCCUAAUAGAUGAAAAUUUGGUCCCAAAAAUUGCUAAUUUUGGCACGGCCAGCCUCUUCCCUGAAGAUCAAAUGCAUGUUAAUAUUAGUGAAGCUACCGAUACCCUGUAUGUGUUAAGUAUAUAAUUUUUCUUAUUUUUCCUAGUAUCUUUUUUUUUAGCAAUUUGAUUUAGGAUAUAAUUUACAUUCUCUAUAUGUUGUCACUGAAUCCUAUUCUUUUCAAAGAAAAAAAAAAUCAAAUCCAUCAAAUCCAUCCGAUCAGUGUUUUUUUGAGUUUUCAAAAACCUUUAUCUGUUUUUUUUUUUUAUUUAUUUAUUUAAACCAAACCAAACUUUUUGAAACUUGAUUUGUUGUUAAUAUAUGCUUGUACAUGGAAUCAAUGGGUAUUUGGAUCCCGAGUAAAAUUGUGGAGACGUUGCUCCAAAGGUGGACACAUACAACUUUGGGGUAGUGGUUUUGGAGUUGAUAAGCGGUCAGAAGAAUUGGCUUUUCCAUGAUUGGUCUUCCAAUGGUCAAGAUCUACGGGAUGGAGCAAAGGAGCUCUACAAGGAAGGAAGGGUUUCAGAGUUUAUGGACCAGAAAUUGAUACCAUUGGUUGUCCUUGAUCAAGUACAAUUGUGCAUACAUAUUGGGGUAAUGUGCAUCGAAUAUGAUCCAAAACUACAACCCACCAUGGGUCGCGUUUACUCAAUGCUGUCAGAGAACCAUAGCAGUAGCAGCACCCUAGUUGAAGAAUCGACGACAGAUGGAUCAUCAUUAGCAUCAUCCACAACUCGAAAUUCAGGUGAAGAACCAGCUUACGACGGGGAAGGUGAUCCCGAAGACAAUCAAGAUGAAGUUUUAAAGCCGUGGUUCACUUGAAAACUUGGACUAGUAGUUUGUUUUUGUGUUCUCUCUUCUUUUACCUUUUGGUUUGACAAUGUUUGUAAACCGCUAGUGGAACUCAAAUCAGUUAUCUAUGUUAUAACUCUGCUUGUAUGUGUAUAUUAACAUAUUGUGGUUAUCUCUUUUGUUUGAGUUGUACUUUAUAUAUUUCUCUUGCGGUCUCAAAAUUUUGGGGCGUGACACCUAAUGUAUUAAUAAUAUAAUUCCUAAAGUC